CUUACGAUGAUGAUACAAUGUCACUGAUGAUUGACUUCUUCUAUUUUUGAUUGAGACAAUCUUUAAGGAUGUUCGCUUUUGCGAGGCAUUUGUCUGAUUUUAUA